AUGCUCCCUUCAGCAGCACACAGACUAAAAUUGGAAAGACACUGAGGUUAGUUUUGCCUUUCUGCAAAGAUGACAUGCAAGUUCAGGAAGAAUUCUGUGUUCU
rnacentral:snRNA from 1 species